rnacentral:tRNA from 1 species
GCAUUGGUGGUUAAGUGAUAGAAUUCUUGCUUUCUAUGCAGGAAACCAGGGUUGGAUUUCUGGCCAAUGCA